rnacentral:rRNA from 1 species
UACAGAGGGUGCAAGCGUUGUUCGGAAUUAUUGGGCGUAAAGCGUGCGCAGGCGGUGCACCAAGCUCGAUGUGAAAGCCCCGGGCUUAACCUGGGAAUUGCAUUGAGGACUGGUGUGCUCGAGUGCGGCAGAGGGGGGUGGAAUUCCACGUGUAGCAGUGAAAUGCGUAGAGAUGUGGAGGAACACCGAUGGCGAAGGCAGCCCCCUGGGCCGACACUGACGCUCAUGCACGAAAGCGUGGGGAGCAAACAGG